UGAAGAAAAUGCAAGUAGGUGGCGCCAUC
rnacentral:sRNA from 1 species